GUGUUUAUUUUACCUUGUUGCUUCGGCGGGCCCGCCUUAACUGGCCGCCGGGGGGCUUACGCCCCCGGGCCCGCGCCCGCCGAAGACACCCUCGAACUCUGUCUGAAGAUUGUAGUCUGAGUGAAAAUAUAAAUUAUUUAAAACUUUCAACAACGGAUCUCUUGGUUCCGGCAUCGAUGAAGAACGCAGCGAAAUGCGAUACGUAAUGUGAAUUGCAAAUUCAGUGAAUCAUCGAGUCUUUGAACGCACAUUGCGCCCCCUGGUAUUCCGGGGGGCAUGCCUGUCCGAGCGUCAUUUCUGCCCUCAAGCACGGCUUGUGUGUUGGGCCCCGUCCUCCGAUCCCGGGGGACGGGCCCGAAAGGCAGCGGCGGCACCGCGUCCGGUCCUCGAGCGUAUGGGGCUUUGUCACCCGCUCUGUAGGCCCGGCCGGCGCUUGCCGAUCAACCCAAAUUUUUAUCCAGGUUGACCUCGGAUCAGGUAGGGAUACCCGCUGAACUUAAGC
rnacentral:rRNA from 1 species